AGUGAACGCUGGCGGUAGGCCUAACACAUGCAAGUCGAACGGCAGCACAGUAAGAGCUUGCUCUUACGGGUGGCGAGUGGCGGACGGGUGAGGAAUACAUCGGAAUCUACUUUUUCGUGGGGGAUAACGUAGGGAAACUUACGCUAAUACCGCAUACGACCUACGGGUGAAAGCAGGGGAUCUUCGGACCUUGCGCGAUUGAAUGAGCCGAUGUCGGAUUAGCUAGUUGGCGGGGUAAAGGCCCACCAAGGCGACGAUCCGUAGCUGGUCUGAGAGGAUGAUCAGCCACACUGGAACUGAGACACGGUCCAGACUCCUACGGGAGGCAGCAGUGGGGAAUAUUGGACAAUGGGCGCAAGCCUGAUCCAGCCAUACCGCGUGGGUGAAGAAGGCCUUCGGGUUGUAAAGCCCUUUUGUUGGGAAAGACAAGCAGCAGGUUAAUACCCCGCUGUUCUGACGGUACCCAAAGAAUAAGCACCGGCUAACUUCGUG
rnacentral:rRNA from 1 species